rnacentral:tRNA from 1 species
GCGGAUGUGGCGAAACUGGUAGACGCGCUGGAUUUAGGAUCUCAUGCAAUCGAGAGAGUUCAUAUCUCUCCUUCCGCA